rnacentral:rRNA from 1 species
AAACUUUCAACAACGGCGGAUCUCUUGGUUCCGGCAUCGAUGAAGAACGCAGCGAAAUGCGCGAUAAGUAAUGUGAAUUGCAGAAUUCCGUGAAUCAUCGAAUCUUUGAACGCACAUUGCGCCCCCUGGUAUUCCGGGGGGCAUGCCUGUUCGAGCGUCAUUGCAACCCUCAAGCUCGGCU